GACUCAACUAGAGCAAAUAACUCAUAUCCGUAGAGCAAAUAACUCAUAUUCCUAGAGUUUAUCAUUGGUGUAAGCUUCAAUAGGUUAGUGCGCUUGGCGAAUUCACAGGCCCUAUCUUGUGGUAUGAACUGGGUACGCGAUGAUUUGCACUGCGUAUUGGGGGCUUACCAUAAGAUAAUGCCAUGAAUUUGUCAAGCGUUCAAACCCACUGAAAUGUUGUGUGAAGGUAAAUAUUUCAAAGUGUUCAUGAAGAAAAGGCAGGUGAAUGUCGCUCGCGGACAGACCUACGGACCACCUCAACACCGCUGAGAUCAACGUGGCCGUAGUUUUGGGUCGCUGAGUUACUGGUGGCGAUUCAUCAAGCUGUGACGGUCCUAUCUCGUGUUGUGCUGUUGACGACCCCCCACCGUAGCUAUAUGGUUCUCCGUAGGACUAUGUGCUGCCAGCAUAUCCCAUCAUUUGUUCAGGGUUGUACAUUCCUACAAAACAUUGAAUGCAAAGUUGUAGCGUACACACAUAAUGGAAAUAAAAUAUUUUGUAGUAAAUUAUAAUUUGUACC